UUAAUCAUAUCACGGUAAAAAGCCGAAGCUUCAGCUGGGAGUGGGGUCCACCUCUUACGGUCAAACACCUAAGAAAGGAUCACAAGGCUGUGGGUUGGUAAGGGUUCCCCUUAGAAUAUAAAGAGGAUUUUUAAGCUAAUCAUGAUGAUGACAGAAGCCAAUCACUUCUCAAGCUCUCCUGGCAAGGAAUUCCAUAAGUGCAAGAGAAACUCUCGCACUUAUGGGAUUCCAAGAGGAUACAAGAAAGAGAAAGAAAAAAUCAUGGUAAUGAGAUGAUGAGAGAAAGACACAAUUAGAGGUGAUAUCAGAGGUGAUGGAUCAUGGAAAUGGAAAUGAGUGAUCACAGUGGCAUUUGGGGUGGGGAGCAGGAACAGCACGUCCACCAUGGAAUGUAACCUGAAGUGAUUUGCCACUGCGCUGCGGAAAUAUUGGAAAAGCUCUACAGAAGAGAGGCAAACACUUCCACGCGUCAGAGCAGCUUGCUGAGGACAACAGGGCCGUGCUUGCUUUGACCCCGUGCAGCGGGAAGGUGGCUCUAUUUCACUGCCUCCUCAGCUUCCUGGGAGCCCAGAAAUCUAGUGGUUCAGUCUACCAAAAAUAACACUAGCCAUAGUAAUCACAUGACAUCAUGGAAAGAUGGGCACAUUCAGGGGUACUCUGUUUAUUGAGGCAGAAGAAUGCAAAGACAUACUUUUAAAAUAUUGUCAUUAAAACUAUGUGAUUAAUACAGCUGCCAAUUUGAGACACAAACACAUUUUACCUGAGGUGAUAUUCUAAAAGGUUGCACUUUUCCUGUUUUUAUAGAUAAAAUAAUUUAUAUUUAGCAUUUGAAGAGGUCUUCCUUGGGAGGCUGGGGCAUGUCUAUGGAGGGACACAUGGAGGGCAAAUGGAAGCACAAGUCACACACAAAAUCAGGGCCGUAACUCGUCAUAGAGAAAUUUGGUCUCAAAAAUGAACACUCAUGAUAAAAACCACAUAAACCUUUAAAACCUUGUGAUGCAGAAACUUGUAUUAAAGUAGCACACUAAAUUUAAGUAAAAUUCAUGUAGUCUAGGCAUCAUGGAAAUCAUGGCUGUAUUUCCCUUUAUAUAAUUUCAUCCUAAUUUAAAACAGCAAGAGAGGGCACUCUUUGGCUGUAACUCCUAACAUCUGGUAGCAAAAGGGUUCAGAGACUUUGAGCAUAGGGAUUUGUAGAACAGAUUCCUCUGCAAAGACAAAGCAAUGGAACAAACAAUUACAAGAACACGAGCUGGCUGGCUUGCAUUGUUUUCCUGCUUGAAGACUUUUAACGACUUGACAAUGUUUAAAGUUGAUUUCAAUGUCUGGACACAUAACUAGCUUGUCUACACUGUUUCCAAUAGAUUAUAAAAUGCUUGAGGCAGCUCCACUUCACUGAAGAGCUUAAUUUCCUAGAAAGUACCAUAAAUAUUUAUGUAUUUGAUUAGAAGACAAAGCAUACACUUUCCUCUUGAAGUAAUCCCUUUAAAAAUAUUUUUGGCAUGUAUAAUUGUUAGGUUAACACUACAUUGAAAACAAUUAGGUUUAGUGGAUGCCUCAGAAAAUGUGGUUAGAAUUGUUUCGUGUGAAAGUGGACUUCAAAAAGCCCAGAUAUUUAGGUGGCAUGCACACAAAAUCUAUGCAGACUGUAUUCACGGAGCAUACUGUAAGCAGAUGCUAUUUUGUUUGACUAGUACAUCCAACACGUUUCAUUUUCCUUUGCUAACAUACUUCCAAAAUUAAAUAAAGCUUUUGGAGAAUAAUAAUGAUACCAGCUAAUGUUUAUUGAGCACUCAUUUGCCAUUAAUGUUUAUGCAAUGCCCGCAGGU
rnacentral:lncRNA from 1 species